rnacentral:rRNA from 1 species
UCCAGGAAUAGCUUCUAAGUAUAUUGUAUAAGUGACCGUACUGUAAACCGACACUGGUGGGUAGGUAGAGAAUAAUAAGGCUAUGAGAUAACUCUGGUGAAGGAACUAGGCAAAAUGACACCGUAACUUUGGAAGAAGGUGUGCACUUGAUGGUGAUGAGACUUGCUCUUUGAGCUGUUGGGGGUUGCAGAUACCAGGUGGCUGCGACUGUUUAACAAAAACACAGCACUCUGCGAAAUCGUAAGAUGAAGUAUAGGGUGUGAC